rfam:Clunio marinus genome assembly, contig: CLTMA_superscaffold_45B
UGUCAGAAAAAAUUUAGCCUCUUUUAGGCUUUGUCUUUGACAUAUUGUCGAACUUAUGUAAAUCGCUAUUAGACAUAGCCUUAAGAGGUUAGGUGAAUUCUUGAUA